rnacentral:rRNA from 4 species
GAACCUGCGGAAGGAU